AGUGAACGCUGGCGGUAGGCCUAACACAUGCAAGUCGAACGGCAGCACAGUAAGAGCUUGCUCUUACGGGUGGCGAGUGGCGGACGGGUGAGGAAUACAUCGGAAUCUACUUUUUCGUGGGGGAUAACGUAGGGAAACUUACGCUAAUACAGCAUACGACCUACGGGUGAAAGCAGGGGAUCUUCGGACCUUGCGCGAUUGAAUGAGCCGAUGUCGGAUUUGCUAGUUGGCGGGGUAAAGGCCCACCAAGGCGACGAUCCGUAGCUGGUCUGAGAGGAUGAUCAGCCACACUGGAACUGAGACACGGUCCAGACUCCUACGGGAGGCAGCAGUGGGGAAUAUUGGACAAUGGGCGCAAGCCUGAUCCAGCCAUACCGCGUGGGUGAAGAAGGCCUUCGGGUUUUAAAGCCCUUUUGUUGGGAAAGAAAAGCAGCAGGUUAAUACCCCGCUGUUCUGACGGUACCCAAAGAAUAAGCACCGGCUAACUUCGUG
rnacentral:rRNA from 1 species